rnacentral:rRNA from 1 species
UACAGAGGGUGCGAGCGUUAAUCGGAAUUACUGGGCGUAAAGCGCGCGUAGGCGGCUUUGCAAGUCGGGUGUGAAAUCCCCAGGCUUAACCUGGGAACUGCAUUCGAGACUGCAUUGCUAGAGUAUGGGAGAGGGAAGUGGAAUUUCCGGUGUAGCGGUGAAAUGCGCAGAUAUCAGGAAGAACACCCGUGGCGAAGGCGGCUCUCUGGAACGCAACUGACGCUGAGACGCGAAAGCGUGGGGAGCAAACAGG